GUCUCCAGAAACCACCAGAUGCAGAAGCUCUCCGCCUCCGUCUCUGAUAGUGCUAGCUUCCCUUCGUGCCUUCAUCCUCCGCCUCCCUUUCCGUGCCUCGUCCCUCCCUGUUGCUGUUGCCUUGGCGCUCUCCUCCCAUCCACAGGAUGCUGAUUGCUGGCUUGCAACUGCACGGCAAGUGGCGGCACACAUGGGGCGAGCAUGGCGAGCAGGGCGAUGGUGCCGCGUACGAGGAAGGGACGACGAGGCCGAGCAGACAGUGGCAGCGUACAGGAUCCGCUACAGCGAGCUGACGGCGGCGGCGACGAGCUAGCAGACGCCGCCCUCCAAUCGGCUCUGCUUCUGCACCUCCGCCGCACACCCGUCCUCUUGCCUCCCCUGCUCCUCGCCUUCUCCCUCGUCUCCAAUGAGUUAGUCACAAGAUCCAAACCUUCGGUGAGGUCUCUCAUCCCCACUUUCCUUCUCCGGUGGGCGGCGUCAACUGGCGCGGCAGCCUGCCGGCGGCAGCCUCCAUCGAGCAUACGGGCGGAGGACGGCACGGGCACGGCGAAGUCCACGUGCUUUUCGGGUCGGCCCGGCACGAAAAUCGGUCCGUGGGCUCAUGCCUGGGCCGAGAACGCGGCACGACGGGUAGCUUGGCACGGCCCGUUAGUAUGGUCCUGCCGGGCCUGGCCCGAUCAGUUUGUGCUCGGGCCAGCUCGGGCUUGGGCCGGGCCGCCCGAAUAGCCAUUUAUAGAUGCCACUGCUUCUUUGCUCGCCACCUACUAACCGGCAGUGCCGUGCCAAGCUACCCGUCGCGUUUUUUUAUUUUUAUAUUUUUGGAAAAUAUUUUUUAUAAAAAUAUAUUUUUAAUAUCACAAUUUAUAGUUUUGUACCCCUACCGCCCGGCAAGGGACCUGCCGCCCGGCAGGGGGGCGGCAGGGAUUUAUAUAUAAAUUAAAAAAAAAUAUUUGCGCGGAAGUCCUUGACGGGAGCUUGCCGCCCCCCUGCCGUCACUCCACUGGGCGGUGGGGGCCUGCCGCCCGGCAGGGGGGCGGCAGGCUCUCCCAUACUGUAUAAAAGGUUUCUCUCCCCCCUCCCCCCUCAUUUGCUUCCCACGACAUCCAGAGAGCGGGAGGGAGAGAGGAGGGGUUAGAGAGGGAGUUGUAACGGCGAAGCUCAGCCGCAUUUUGGAUCCUAACCGCAGGUCGUCUUGUUGAGAGUGGUUCAGUACAGCUGGACAGGUCCCUAUUGACGGCUCUGGUUGAUAGAUGGAGGCCUGAGACAAACACCUUCCACCUCCCUUGUGGGGAGAUGACACCGACCCUACAGGACGUUGCGAUGCUGCUGGGUCUUUCUAUCAGUGGGGAUGCCGUAGGGCCUCGUGUCGUCCUGCCUAUGUGGUUGGAUGAUCUAGAAGAGCGUUUUGCAAAUAUUGACAUCGCGAUUGAUGUAGAAGAGCACCCAAAAGCAACAGGCCCUGCCAAGGCAUGGAUCCUCCAGUUCCAACCCGAUAAUUUGGCACAUGAUGCUGAUGAUGAUAGCGUCACUGAUCCCUUGAGG